CUACAUGAAGUUGGAAUCGCUAGUAAUCGUGGAUCAGCUACGCCACGGUGAAUACGUUCCCGGGCCUUGUACACACCGCCCGUCACGCCAUGGAAGCCGGGAGUGCCCGAAGUCCGUGACCCAACCGUAAGGAGGGAGCGGCCGAAGGCGAGUUCGGUGACUGGGGCGAAGUCGUAACAAGGUAGCCGUAGGGGAACCUGCGGCUGGAUCACCUCCUUUU
rnacentral:rRNA from 1 species